rnacentral:pre_miRNA from 1 species
AACAACUCAAUUCCUGAGUUUCUGUGUCCAACAUUUGACUGUCCGUUUUAUUUGAAAAAAUUAUGAAAAAAAAUUAAAAAAAUAAGUCACACAUAAAGUAUUAUUUAUGUUUUAUCAUUUAACAACAAUGAAAAUACUAAUUAAAAAAAUCAUAUAAGACGAACAGUCAAACGUAGGACACGAAAACCCAGGAAUUGAGUCUUU